AGGGGAGGGAGAGGCAGCAGCUCCAUAUUAAUGGGUUCCUUAAAGAGCAGCCUGGCACAGGUGGGAAAGUGUCAGUACAUCUAAUUGUUGCUCAUAGGUAAACAGCUCCAGAUCUCUGAUGAACCUUUCUACCCUUUCCUGAAACUCUUCUAUUCCAAGACCAACUUUUUGAGAUGAUAGCACUGAUGUGCAAGCAAGCCACAAGUUCUACAAGGCUAUUGUGUCUGGAGCUAAGAUCCAGGUCUCAUCCCAAGGACUACUCAAGAAUCACAGUGGUGGGAAUUAAGCUCAGGGUGUUCCUUAUCCCAUCACAGCUGGAUGAGUUCUAGCUAUUUACCAAAUGGAAAGGACAAGCAGCUUAAGGAAUUCAGAGCUCCAACACUCCAAUAAGAAAAUUGCAUCUCUGUGCAUGUGCUGAAGCAGCAGGGGUGAGCUGGCCAUAGCAGUUAACCUUCACUCUACAUUCUGGAUCACAGUUAGGUGGGAGCAGAAAAUAACCACUCUCUUCUGAUUUUGCAGAGCACAUUCAAGUAUUCUGGUUGCAGUAUUCCUUCAGCCACUCAUCUCUAGAGAAUAUACCAUAGAAAUAGAGAAAUAUUUUUAUCUUUUACAUUUUAUGAGGCAUGAUGUGUGAGCCACUGUUUGAGGCAGAAUAAUGCUCCAAUGUACAUAUGGCCUGAAAAGAUGUAGCCAUGAAUACCUCUGUGUAUAAGAAGGGUUAUAGCACCUGGAUACAGCAAAAUUCUCCUACUGUUAGUGUUCCCUGGGCACACAGCCAAAAUACAUCAGCCAUGUGCUGAGUGAAUAUUGAAACAUUCCCAGUACAUCCCACAGCAUCACCAGUAAUCUCAUAUCUGUGCUGUGUCGUGACAGUAAGUUUUUCAGUAUAGCUCACCCGACCUAUAAACAUUUCUACCAACUGAGAACACAGGUGUUGCAAUGAAAUAUUUGACAACCUUUGCAGCAAAUAAGUUGAUACUCUAAUUUCUUAUAAAAAUCUAUGGAGUGUCAGAAGAAGUUUUGGGAUCAUUUAAAUUUUAAUGUGUUUUGAAAAAAUGGAGUCAUUUCAAGGCACUAGAGGGCUUUCGGGCUUAUUACAUUAGACUGCAAAGACUAAUCAUCAGCACGUAAAACUAUUGUUAAUUCAGAAGUUCAUAAAAAAAGAAGAAAAUUUAAGGUUAAAAAUAUCACUACUGCACUGGAUGACAUUGUUCCACUGAAAGUAGGUCUCGUUAAAGAAACCUGUUAUAUUUUUGAUGGGAUUUGUCUGGUUGAUAAAGAAAUUCACUAUGGUAUAACCUACUUUGAUUUCACUAGAUCUAAACUAGAUGACUCCCAGAUUGGAGCUGCUGCCAUAGAAAGGAACAGAAAGACUCAUCCUACAUCAAUUAAAAACUGUUUCAGUACGUCAAAAAGCAAGGCAAGAGUUGGGUAUGUUUUGAUAACAGUGGAGCUUUACCUCCAGACUGCCUGGAAAAUCAAAUAUGGUUGGAUUGGAGGAAGAUUGCUAGCACUGACUUUCAGCCACAUAUCCAUGGCAUUGCUCUGUGCCACUUCACAAAGUUACAGCUGGAAAAGUGUAAGAGUGGCAGAGUUGGCAGCCUCCAGAGCAUGAUGGUUUUCCUUAGCCACAGUGUGACAUUUCUUCUGCAUACCAAUUGAGGAAGCAGGCACACUGGUAAGUUUCUUUUUCUCGACUAGUAUAUAUGCUUAUUCAUAGACAUAGAAUCAUAGAGUUAUAGAAUCUUUUGAAUUUAUAGAAUCAUGGGAUCAUUUGAGUUUGAAGGGACCCUUAAAGGCCAUCUAACCCAACUCCCCUGAAAUAAACAGGGACACCUACAGCUUGAUCAGGUUGCUCAGAGCCCCAUUUAACCCGGCCUUGAGUGUCUCCAAAGACAAGGCAUCCAUCACCAGCCUGGG
ensembl:lncRNA